UCUAAGUAUAACCUGCCAGACAGGGAAACUGCGUACGGCUCAUUACACCAGCCUUAAUUUACUUGACCUUGACAACCUACUUGGAUAACUGUGGUAAUUCUAGAGCUAAUACAUGCACCAAAGCUCCGAUCCUCGCGGAGAGGAGCGCAUUUGUUCGCCACAAAACCAAGCGCCCAUCUGGGCGUCCAGUGCUGAACCAGAACAACUCAGCUGAUCGCACGGUCUUGUACCGGCGACGUGUCUUUCAAGUGUCUGCCUUAUCAACUUUCGAUGGUAGUGUACCUGACUACCAUGGUUGUGACGGGUAACGGAGGAUAAGGGUUCGACUCCGGAGAAGGGGCCUGAGAAAUGGCCACUACGUCUAAGGAUGGCAGCAGGCGCGCAAAUUACCCACUCUCAACGCGAGGAGGUAGUGACGAGAAAUAACGAGACCGUUCUCAUACGAGGCCGGUUAUUGGAAUGGGUACAAUUUACA
rnacentral:rRNA from 1 species